GGUAUGUGUUUUAUUAACAGGAUUUCACGCUCUUUGCUCAGAUUUCCCUGAUUAAUUCAUCACCAUGAGUGGAUGUCGUGUGUUCAUCGGCCGUCUUAGCCCUCAUGCUCGUGAAAGAGACGUGGAGAAGUUUUUUAAAGGUUACGGACGCAUUCGGGAGAUUAACCUAAAAAACGGGUUUGGCUUUGUGGAGUUCGACGACCACAGGGACGCAGACGACGCAGUGUAUGAGCUGAAUGGAAAAGAGCUGUGCAGUGAGAGGGUGACCAUUGAACAUGCCCGUUCUCGUCGAGGAAGAGGUGGAGGUCCAGGAAUGGGUGGCCGUUUCUCUCCACGUUUUGGAGGGUAUCGUAAAUCCCGCAGUGUGGGUUCCAGGUAUGGUCCACCCGUGCGCACGGAGCACAGAAUCAUUGUGGAGAAUCUCUCCUCUCGCAUCAGCUGGCAGUUGUGCUCUGGUAUUCUUUAAUUGGAGUUGCAUGCACAGCCUCCGAGGUGCAUAACGCCCUCCCCUGGUUGUGUUCUGAAUAGUGUCCCUGUGGUGGCUCACCCGGCACGCUGUGUCUACUGGUCUAAGUCUUGGCUGGGUCCGUAGCACCAGACAGAGCCGUAGCACAGGAUAGCCUUAGAGGAGCUGGGUAGCCACUCUCUGGAGGGUCUGAUGUCAGAUCUGCUCCAUCCCCACGAUCUGCUGUUUGGGUCUUAUUCUGUUGGUGCUGAAGCGGGGAGGGGGACAGGGUUUUGGCCCCUCCCCAUCCUCUCUCUCUCUCUGGUGGGGUCCGUUCUUACAGAGGCCGGAUGGGUCAAGUCCGAGGUCGUUUUAACGCUUCAUUGCUUCCGUUUGCUAUUUGGACAAGUGGCUCUUUGCUAAUGCCUUCUGUGGUUUGGAACGGUAAGUAGCUCAUUACACUGGAUAGUUACACGGUAAAGAGGGUUUUGUCACUUUAAAUCUGGAGUUAGUUAUAAAUGGAGAAAGAUUGCCGGUAGGGAGUUUUAUCUAAUUAACAAAAUGAGACCUGUUCUCAGGAACUAGCUGUAGUCAGGCGUGUCUCCAUCUGAGGGCCUUGCUUCCUGCUGUUUUACACAGUCUAAAUGAGAUUUGUGUUGCCAAACACGCUCCGGUAGUUUUAUAACCGGGACAAACAUUCGGUAAGAUGACAUCUGUUGAGGGACCUUUCUACAGGUGCAUCAGCGCACACUUUAGAGCAGAUGCUGCAGAAUGUGUCUGUGUAUUAAAUGUGUGGGUGGUAAACUCCAGUGUGUGACUCAGUGCUUUUGGGUGUCUCUGAAAAUGUGUCAUUAAAUGGUUUCUGUGCUUUCUGCAGGAUCUGAAGGACUUGAUGAGGAAGGUGGGUGAAGUGACCUUUGUGGAUGCACACAGGACCAAGAAGAAUGAGGGUGUGGUGGAGUUUGCUUCACACAGUGAUAUGAAGAAUGCCAUAGAGAAGCUGGAUGGAACAGAUCUGAAUGGACGC